rnacentral:lncRNA from 1 species
AUGGGCCCUACCUAUCAUCCCUCAUUUGGGUCCUACUCAUUCCUCAUGUGGACUCUACUCAUCAUUCCUCACUUGGGCCCUACCCAUCAUUCCUCACUUGGGCCCUAUCCCUCAUGGGCCAUACCUAUCACUUCACUUGGGCCCUACCCAUCAUCCUUCACUUGGGCUCUACCCAUCAUCCCUCACAUGGACUCUACUCAUCAUCCCUCACUUGGGCCCUACCUAUCACCUCACUUGGGCCAUACCUAUCACUUCACUUGGGCCCUACCCAUCAUCCUCACUUGGACCCUACCCAUCAUCACUCACUUGGGCCCUAUCCAUCAUCCCUCACUUGGGCCUUACCCAUCAUCCUUCACUUGGGCCCUAUCCCUCAUGGCCAUACCUAUCACUUCACUUGGGCCCUACCCAUCAUCCUUCACUUGGGCUCUACCCAUCAUCCCUCACAUGGACUCUACUCAUCAUCCCUCACUUGGGCCCUACUUAUCACCUCACUUGAGCCCUACCUAUCACCUCACUUGGGCCCUACCCAUCAUCCCUCACUUGGGCCCUAUCCAUCAUCCCUUACUUGAGCCUUACCCAUCAUCCUUCACUUGGGCCCUAUCCCUCAUGAGCCAUACCUAUCACUUCACUUGGGCCCUACCCAUCAUCCUUCACUUGGGCUCUACCCAUCAUCCCUCACAUGGACUCUACUCAUCAUCCCUCACUUGGGCCCUACCUAUCACCUCACUUGGGCCAUACCUAUCACUUCACUUGGGCCCUACCCAUCAUCCCUCACUUGGACCCUACCCAUCAUCACUCACUUGGGCCCUAUCCAUCAUCCCUCACUUGAGCCUUACCCAUCAUCCUUCACUUGGGCCCUAUCCCUCAUGGGCCAUACCUAUCACUUCACUUGGGCCCUACCCAUCAUCCUUCACUUGGGCUCUACCCAUCAUCCCUCACAUGGACUCUACUCAUCAUCCCUCACUUGGGCCCUACUUAUCACCUCACUUGAGCCCUACCUAUCACCUCACUUGGGCCCUACCCAUCAUCCCUCACUUGGGCCCUAUCCAUCAUCCCUUACUUGAGCCUUACCCAUCAUCCUUCACUUGGGCCCUAUCCCUCAUGAGCCAUACCUAUCACUUCACUUGGGCCCUACCCAUCAUCCUUCACUUGGGCUCUACCCAUCAUCCCUCAUAUGGACUCUACUCAUCAUCCCUCACUUGGGCCCUACCUAUCACCUCACUUGGGCCCUACCCAUCAUCCCUCACUUGA